rnacentral:lncRNA from 1 species
CAGAGAAACGGGGAACUGGUCAAAGAAUACUCCACAGAGAGAAAGCACCACCAUCAGCCUUUGCCUCCCAGAUUGUACCUGGACAUGGUAACAGUUCAGGAGCCUGAAGACACUGCCGUUGAGUGGAUAUUCUCACUUUGAAACUGGCUGCACACUCACUUGGGAGCUUUUGAGCCAAUUUCUGAACUGAAGGCUAGAUGCUCGUUUUUAUCCUGAAAUUGGGAAGAACACGAGAAGAAGACCGUGUGGUACCAGGAUUGGUUGUUGGUUAACCAUUUGAAGACCAUUCAGAUUUGAAAAUCUUACAUUACAGCAAUUAGAGGAUGGAAAUCAAUCCCUGCAUACUGAGAAAAAUGAAAAAACUAAGAAGAUUUUUAGUGUCUGCACCAUGUCGUCUGCCUCAGUCACAGCACAACCAGGAUUUCCCAACCUAGCAUCCCAAUACUAAAACGGACACACACAGACAUGGCUCCC